ensembl:scaRNA
CUCUGGGGUCCUCGAUGCGGCCCUCGCAUGAGCCCGCAAUAUUUUCCUUAUAUGAUCAGGUCCCAUUGCUGCUUGCGCGGAGCCUGAGAGGAUUAUGAAAACGUGGCAGGCGAGGUGGGGCCAGGGGACCCGGCG